rnacentral:rRNA from 1 species
GACGAACGCUGGCGGCGUGCCUAAUACAUGCAAGUAGAACGCUGAAGAGAGGAGCUUGAUCUUCUUGGAUGAGUUGCGAACGGGUGAGUAACGCGUAGGUAACCUGCCUUGUAGCGGGGGAUAACUAUUGGAAACGAUAGCUAAUACCGCAUAACAAUGGAUGACACAUGUCAUUUAUUUGAAAGGGGCAAUUGUUCCACUACAAGAUGGACCUGCGUUGUAUUAGCUAGUAGGUGAGGUAAUGGCUCACCUAGGCGACGAUACAUAGCCGACCUGAGAGGGUGAUCGGCCACACUGGGACUGAGACACGGCCCAGACUCCUACGGGAGGCAGCAGUAGGGAAUCUUCGGCAAUGGGGGCAACCCUGACCGAGCAACGCCGCGUGAGUGAAGAAGGUUUUCGGAUCGUAAAGCUCUGUUGUAAGUCAAGAACGGGUGUGAGAGUGGAAAGUUCACACUGUGACGGUAGCUUACCAGAAAGGGACGGCUAACUACGUG